UUACUGAGAUGGCAUCAAACAAGCGUCUGGAAGCAAGUAGACUUGCCAGAGCCGGUAGGUACUGACAGAAAAACGCCUACCACUCUACAACAGUACAAAAGAAGACAAAACCUGACUUUUCAACACUGAAGAGAGCAAGAGCAGAACAGAAGUACAAGCCAUCACAACAACUAGUCACUAGUCUAGGUCAUAAAUGUUGUAAGUAGCUUGCUCUUUAGCUACUCCUUCUUGCAUAGCAUUAAUUUUAUUUGUCUAGUAAUAGUGGCUGCAUGGUUUAGUCGACUUUUUAGAGCUAAAUUCUCUUUACUUUUCAGAAAAAUCAACAUUAAAAAUGAUCAAUUUCACUGUUUCUAUGUACAACACAUUGUGGAGCAGUCAAGACAGGUAAUGAGCAUGCUGACUAUAAAUAUAAUCCUUUGUAGUUUUAGCUAUAACGUGGAGUGUUUCACGCAAAAAUUGUCGUUUCCAAUCCCCUUUCUUUUGUAUCCCUGGUUUAUUCAAGAUGGGCUUAUUUUCGCGAGGGUACGGUAUAAUUUUAUCACAAUUAUUUUUACAAGCAUUGAUUACAUUUUGGCUAAUCAUGAUACAGAUGAGUACGUAAACUACUUUGAUCAAAGGAAACACAGGUGGGGACUAGUAUCAUUAGCAAGAUGCGUAACCAAAACUUGUUGGAUUAACAAAGGCUAUUGUUUUUGAAAAUUUUGCUCAGAAUAAUUAUCUUAAGAAACUUUAUCGAGUGAAGUGAAUAUCGAAUCAAAACUGUUAAUUUCACCUUACAUCCGUUAUAACGUGCGUUGCCAGGAAUUCAGUGAUCACCACGGCAGUGGAGAAAUUGAAAGUAGUUACAUACCCAACCAUCAUACAUAGUGCGUCUAACUGUUAAAGUCGAUUCAAAGCCAGUCAGUGAAGGGAACUGUCUCUUUAACAAAUGUUGUGCUUUAUAAAUCUAUUUUCAAUAGUUCAUUUCCAAGGAUCUUCUCUUUGUUUUCCAAUCGUCGAGGUUUGUCCAAACAUCACUGUAUAGGGCUGGCCGUUUUGCAGGCAUAUCUGCAUCAAUCUCACUGGUUGCAUCCUUCUUACUCUCAAUAGUUACCUGUACCUCAGCAAUGAAGGCUUUUACCCUGACUCUGUCCAGAAAAAGUAAGCAUACAGUGUAUUUCGAGUCUGAAGAAUAAUUAUUUUCUGCUUCUAGUAUCCUCUGCUUUCGUCUUCUUAGAAAUAGAGAACAGUCAGAGAGCAGAUAAUUACCCGAGGCGCGCGUGGGCGGCCACGGGUAUAGUAGUCCUUGGUUUGUCUGUUUGUUUGUAAUUUCAGGAUCUGCUCACCUGGCUGCCACAGCACUGCGUUUAUAGCAUGGAUAGCCUUCACACAAUAAGUUAUUAGUUUUAACAAUAGUAGAUUUCAAUGUUAGAGCUUUGUUGUCGAAUAAAAGCGAGCAUAAACUAAGAAGCUUGAACUAGCUUGCACGUUGGCUAGCUAACACUAUACACGCGGCCUUUAUUCGAGGCACCCUCCGUAUUUACAGCUGAAGUGAUCCCGUACCAAAAACAGUGGGAAAGAAUAGAAAGCUAGAAUUGUGACUUGUUUGUUGCUCUGUUAGGACUCCAGGAUCCCAGGAGUCAUAUCAUACAUGUACUUCUCUGAGACUCCAGGCAUCUUUGCUGUGAUCCUAGUCCGAGCAUGCCUCAUUACCACUAAAACUCUGUUCUCAUUGCAUGCCUCUAGUCUUAGUUUUAUUGCUCCUGAGUUGCUGUGCUAGACAGUUCAGUCAUACACCACUACAUGCACUGCAUUAUAUCACUCUUCUGGUUUCUUUAUAAUCAUGUCACCAGCCGAGGGUUUGCACUUCAGUGCUCUAGUUGUUUCGGUACAUGCCCUACAAUAAUACUACUAUUGUUGUAGGGCAUGUACACUAGUUCUAUUUCUCAUCGCGAACGGCUUUCUCGUCUCUUGCACUCCAAAACUUCCCCUACUAAUGCAUUCCAUGUACACUGGUAGAUAUGGUAGCCUCUUGUCAUCGAUGCUAUGGAGAAUGUAGCUGUCUUUAUAAUUAUAGUCUCGGUAUACUGUAUCUCACGCGAGAUAAGUGCCACAUCCUCUUAAUUUAACUCCACGACAUUUUCUAUCGCGAAAUUUUCUAAGUGAGACAAAAAUAAUAUGAAAUUUUACACCAGCACAGCAGUAGUAAUUCGCAUGUACAUAAAUUAUACUUAUACAACAGAUGAGAAUCUAGGAAGACAAUAUCUUGGAAGAUGGAGUAAGUAUUUCUGAGUGCAACAGGUUGAGAAUCUAUGUAGGAACACAUUAGAAGACAAGGGUAGCUGCGCGGUUGUUUUGUUUGCGCAAUCUGUUUAUGAGUCAAACUAGCCAUAACUCGAGAAAGAAGCUUUAGUUUGCUAAUCCACGAAUCAAAAUCCAAGACAACGUGGCUAGAAGGUCCUUGUUUUGGUCCUUGUUUGGAAACUGGUUGCAGAAUCUCAUGAUGAUCCUUAUGCAUGAAGUUUUCUCAAAAAAAUUACCAACUUACUUUUACUUAGUCAGCCACUCAUGCGAUAAUUAUGCCUCAAGGCGUAGCCGCACGAGGGAUACGGUAAAGCUGACUGUGUGUGUGUCUGUCUGUCUGUCUGUCUGUCUGUGUGUGUAUUCCAGCUAUAACUGCUCAACGGUUACAAUGCAACGAAAACUAACAGCUUCUAUAGGGUUCUAGCCACGUUGUCUUGGAUUUUGAUUCGUAGAUUAGCAAACUAAAGCUUCUUUCUCGAGUUAUGGCUAGUUUGACUCACAUUGAAGGCUGUUGCAGUCGCUCCCACAAACUUUUUAUUCAACUUAUGAGUUAGCCUUGCACUUAAGCGCUAGCUUUUUGUUGGCUACAAGAGUUAGAAAGAGCUGCUAAAGAAGCUAGCUAUUUUAGUAGCCAUUAUUGAUUGAACUUGCAGACACACCCCUAUUCCUGGAUGUAUAUCUAAUGCGCAUGCGCGCUCAAUACCACGUGUAAGAGAAUCCAUUUUGUAGAAUCAGAAUCAAUUUUCUUCUUUGUUGAGGUCCAGGUAAGCCACAAACCAACCUUUCUACAUUAUUUUCAAUUUGUAUUAUUCGUUACUGCGUUUAAUGUUCAUUCAAUUGCUAACACCUAUUUGCAAUCAUAAUUAUUGCAAAUUAUUAACCUUUCUAUAACACUCUAAUACUUUUGAGCGAAAGCAAAAACAUGGCGAGAGGCAUUAGCACAGCGCCAGCUUGAACACUAGUUAUUCCUAUUUGCAAUCAUAAUUACAAAUUAUUAACCUUUCUAUAACACUCUAAUACUUUUGAGCGAAAGCAAAAACAUGGUGAGAGGCAUUAGCACAGCGCCAGCUUGAACACUAGUUAUUCCUAUUUGCAAUCAUAAUUACAAAUUAUUAACCCUUUCCCCGUUGAAGCCGUCAUAUGACGGCCACUCUAGUGGUCAUUUUCAAAAAUUCGUUGUGCCCACUGUGUUGGAGCUAUGCACACGCUGUAGGUACCAGCACAUGCGCAUUGAGCUGCUCUUUCACGUGGUAUCUUUAAUAUGCUGCCUCGAGGUACGCUUUGUACAGUAAUGUCGAAAGAAAAGUGACCGUUUGAUAAUGUUUCAAGAUCUUUGUAGUACAAUCUCAGUGAGGUUCUAAAGUAGCUAGACAGUGAGAAUAUCGAUGCUUAUGGCCUUGUUGAGUGAGAGGACUGUGACUGGGAUAGUAGCUAGAUAAAAAGCUACCUCAAGCUAGAAAAUAUAGAGCCUGGAAGGCCUGAGGAAGAAGCUCUUGCGAUGGAACAACUUCUUGGAUCUGGUGAAGAAAACAUUUCCCGGGAAAAGGGCGUCUGCUGAUACGACCUCGCAGAAAACUUUCUGCAGAUCCUGAUUGAACCAUGUCACCGUGAGAACAUUGAGAACACUUAUUUAGUGUCUUUAGCCACUCUGUGCCUUCAUACAAUAUUAUUUGUGUACAUAGUUGUGAAUGUUUGUAAACAAUUGCUAAUUAGUGGGGGUGGUCAGUUGCUAGGUAACGAAGAUGUUGUCAAGAUAUCUCUGAGGUCUGCGCUACCUGUAGGAAAUAGUUACAAGUCAUUUCAAUGUAUGGUUCAUGACAUACAAAUUUUUAAAGAAAAUUGUUAUUUAUUCUG